rnacentral:tRNA from 1 species
GCGCCCAUAGCUCAAUGGAUAGAGCAUCAGCCUGCGGAGCUGAGGAUACAAGUUCGAUUCCUGUUGGGCGCA